GUGUUAAUGAAAUGGGAUCCGAAGCAUC
rnacentral:sRNA from 1 species